rnacentral:lncRNA from 1 species
AUGUCUCUGGGGCUUCCCUUGAACCUCCCUCUGCCUCCAGAGGAAGAAGCCCCAAAUUCCGCCACCCCCCAGGAGCUGGGAGCCAACCCGGGGCUGGCCCGGCUGCUCCGGGAUUUGGGGGGGCUGCUGGGGGGGGAUGGGCUGAGCCCCCCGCUGCAGAAGGAGCUGCGCCAGGCCGAGGUGUCCCUGUGCCGGGCCCGGGCGCUUUGGCUGCGCCUGGAGCUGCUCUGGAGGAUUUUGGGGGAGCUGAUCCGGGACCCCCGAGAUUUGGAGCCUUCUGUGAGUCCCAAAAUCCCCCAAAAAAUCCUCCCAAAAUCCCCCCAAAAUCCCCUCAAAAUCCUCCCAAAAUCCCCCCAAAAUUCCCUGAAAAAUUCCCAAAAAAUUCCCAAAAAUUCCCCAAAAAUUGCCCUUAAAUUCCACCUAAAUUCCCUCAAAAAUUCCCCCAAAAUUUCCCCAAAAUUCCCUCAAAAAAUUCCCCCCAAAUUCCUCAAAAAUUCCGAAAAAUUCUCUCAAAAGUUCCCCCUAAAAUCCUUCAAAAUCCCCCCAAAAUUCCCUCAAAAUUUCCCAAAAAUUCCCAAAAAUUCCCUCAAAAUUCCCAAAAAAAUUCCCCCAAAAUCCCCAAAAAAUUCCCAAAAAAUUCCCCAAAAUCCUCUAAAAAUUCUCUUAAAAAUUCCCAAAAAUUCCCCAAAAAUCCCUAAAAAAUCCUCCCAAAAUCCCCCCAAAAUCCCUCAAAUCCACCCAAAUUCCCCCAAAUUUCCCCCAAAAUCCCUCAAAAUCCCCCCCCAAAUUCCCUCCAAUUUUCCCAAAUUGUCCCAAAUUCCCUCAAAUUCCUCCAAAAUUCCCCUGAAUUCCCUCAAAUUCCCCCAAAUUCCCCCCAAAGCCCCCCCAAAUUCCCUCAAAUUUCCCCCCAAAUCCCUCAAAAAUUCCCAAAAAAUUGCCCUUAAAUUCCACCCAAAUUCCCUCAAAAAUUCCCCCAAAAUUUCCCCAAAAUUCCCUCAAAAAAUUCCCCCCAAAUUCCUCAAAAAUUCCCUCAAAAAUUCCCAAAAAUUCCCCAAAAAAUUCCCAAAAACUUCCCAAAAAAUUCCUCAAAAUCCUCCAAAAAUUCCCUCAAAAAUUCCUAAAAAAUUCCCUCAAAAUUCCCCCAAAAAAUCCCCCCAAAAUCCCCCAAAAUAUCCCCCAAAAUCCCCCCAAAAUUCCCUCAAAAAUUCCCAAAAAAUCCCCCCAAAAUCCUUAAAAAUCCUCCCAAAAUUCCCUCAAAAAUUCCCUCAAAAAUUCCCAAGAAAUUCCCAAAAAAUUCCCCAAAAUCCUCUAAAAAUUCCCUCAAAAAUUCCCAAAAAUUCCCCAAAAAUUCCCAAAAAAUUCCCCAAAAUCCUCCAAAAAUUCCCUCAAAAAUUCCUAAAAAAUUCCCUCAAAAUUCCCUCAAAAAAUUCCAAAAAAUCCCCCAAAAAUUCCCAAAAAUUCCCUCAAAAUUCCCUCAAAAAAUUAAAAAAAAAUCCCCAAAAAAGUCCCAAAAAAUUCCCCAAAAUCCUCUAAAAAUUCCCUCAAAAAAUUCCAAAAAAUCCCAAAAAAAUUCCCCAAAAUCCUCUAAAAAUUCCCUCAAAAAUUCCCAAAAAAUUCCCAAAAAAUUCCCAAAAAAUUCCCCAAAAAUUCCCAAAAAUUCCCCAAAAAAUCCCCAAAAAAUUCCCAAAAAAUUCCCCAAAAUCCUCUAAAAAUUCCCUCAAAAAUUCCCAAAAAUUCCCCAAAAAUUCCCAAAAAAUUCCCCAAAAUCCUCUAAAAAUUCUCUCAAAAAUUCCCAAAAAUUCUCCCAAAAUUCCCUCAAAAAUUCCCAAAAAUUACCAAAAACUUUCCCAAAAAAUUCCCUCAAAAAUUCCCUCAAAAUCCCCAAAAAAUUCCCAAAAAAUCCCCAAAAAUUCCCCAAAAAAUUCCCAAAAAAUUCCCAAAAAAUUCCCAAAAAUUCCCAAAAAUUCCCAAAAAAUUCCCAAAAAUUCCCCAAAAAAUUCCCAAAAAUUCCCAAAAAAUUCCCCA